CCCUAGCCCUGAUGGAAGUGGCAUCUCCCGAUUUAGAAAAAACAAGGCUUUUUUAGCCGUAGUUUUUGUUUAUCGGGAAUACAGCGGACAGCAGGUUUCAGA
rnacentral:sRNA from 1 species